UCACUCUUGGAUGGACCUGCGGUGAUUUAGCUAGUUGGUAGGGUAACGGGCCUACCAAAGGCGAUGAUGCAUAGCCGAGUUGAGAGACUGAUCGGCCACAUUGGGACUGAGACACGGCCCAAACUCCUACGGGAGGCAGCAGUAGGGAAUCUUCCACAAUGGACGCAAGUCUGAUGGAGCAACGCCGCGUGAGUGAAGAAGGGUUUCGGCUCGUAAAGCUCUGUUGUUGGUGAAGAAGGACAGGGGUAGUAACUGACCUUUGUUUGACGGUAAUCAAUUAGAAAGUCACGGCUAACUACGUGCCAGCAGCCGCGGUAAAU
rnacentral:rRNA from 1 species